UCAGCACGUCUGUAAGGAAAAUGUUAACUUC
rnacentral:piRNA from 1 species